GACGAACGCUGGCGGCGUGCCUAAUACAUGCAAGUAGAACGCACAGUUUAUACCGUAGCUUGCUACACCAUAGACUGUGAGUUGCGAACGGGUGAGUAACGCGUAGGUAACCUGCCUGGUAGCGGGGGAUAACUAUUGGAAACGAUAGCUAAUACCGCAUAAUAUUAAUUAUUGCAUGAUAAUUAAUUGAAAGGUGCAAUUGCACCACUACCAGAUGGACCUGCGUUGUAUUAGCUAGUAGGUGAGGUAACGGCUCACCUAGGCGACGAUACAUAGCCGACCUGCGAGGGUGAUCGGCCACACUGGGAGUGAGACACGGCCCAUACUCCUUCGGGAGGCAGCAGGAGGGAAUCUUCGGCAAUGGACGAAAGUCUGACCGAGCAACGCCGCGUGAGUGAAGAAGGUUUUCGGAUCGGAAAGCUCUGUUGUAAGAGAAGAACGGGUGUGAGAGUGGAAAGUUCACACUGUGACGGUAUCUUACCAGAAAGGGACGGCUAACUACGUG
rnacentral:rRNA from 1 species